UCAUGCAGUAGGCGCAAAGCUAGCAGUGGCGGAACGCGUUUAUAAUCUAGUCAUCUGCGUUUCGCCACUGCUAGCUUUGCGCCUGCUGCACGAGU
rnacentral:pre_miRNA from 1 species